CCUACGGGUGGCAGCAGUGAGGAAUAUUGGUCAAUGGACGAGAGUCUGAACCAGCCAAGUAGCGUGAAGGAUGAAGGCCCUAUGGGGUGUAAACUUCAUGUAUAAAGGAAUAAAACGAGGCACGUGGGCCUUUUUGCAUGUACUUUAUGAAUAAGGAUAGGCUAACUCCGUGCCAGCAGCCGCGGUAAUACGGAGGCUCCGAGCGUUAUCCGGCUUUAUUGGGGUGAACGGGAGCGUAGAUGGGUUGGUUAGUCAGUGGUGAAAGUUUGCGGCUCAACCGUAAAAUUGCUAUUGAUACUGGCAGUCUUGAGUCCAGUUGAGGUCGGCGGAAUUCGUGGUGUAGCUG
rnacentral:rRNA from 1 species